GAUGAAGAACGUAGCGAACUGCGAUAAGUAAUGAAUUGCAGAAUUCAGUGAAUCAUCGAGUCUUUGAACGCACAUUGCGCCCCCUGGCAUUCCGGGGGGCAUGCCUGUCCGAGCGUCAUUGCUGCCCUUCAAGCCCGGCUUGUGUGUUGGGUCGUCGUCCCCCCCGGGGGACGGGCCCGAAAGGCAGCGGCGGCACCGCGUCCGGUCCUCGAGCGUAUGGGGCUUUGUCACCCGCUCGAUUAGGGCCGGCCGGGCGCCAGCCGGCGUCUCCAACCUUCUAUUUUACCAGGUUGACCUCGGAUCAGGUAGGGAUACCCGCUGAACUUAAGCAUAUCAAUAAGCGGAGGA
rnacentral:misc_RNA from 1 species